rnacentral:snoRNA from 11 species
UGUGCUGUGAUGAGACGAGACACAUUGGUGUUCAUAGGGCAGUGGACGGGCCCAAUGGGUCUGCCGUGAGCCUAUUGAAUUCAAACGACUUCUCCUUCCACUGAGCACA